GACGAACGCUGGCGGCGUGCCUAAUACAUGCAAGUCGAGCGGACCAAAGGGAGCUUGCUCCUGGAGGUUAGCGGCGAACGGGUGAGUAACACGUGGGCAACCUGCCUGUAAGGACUGGGAUAACAUCGAGAAAUCGGUGCUAAUACCGGAUAAUAAAAGAACUGCAUGGGUUCUUUUUUGAAGAUGGUUUCGGCUAUCACUUACAGAUGGGCCCGCGGCGCAUUAGCUAGUUGGUGAGGUAACGGCUCACCAAGGCGACGAUGCGUAGCCGACCUGAGAGGGUGAUCGGCCACACUGGGACUGAGACACGGCCCAGACUCCUACGGGAGGCAGCAGUA
rnacentral:rRNA from 1 species